rnacentral:rRNA from 1 species
UCGGGAAUUUUGGGCAAUGGGCGAAAGCCUGACCCGGCAACGCCGCGUGAAGGAUGAAGUAUUUCGGUAUGUAAACUUCGAAAGAAUAGGAAGAAUAAAUGACGGUACUAUUUAUAAGGUCCGGCUAACUACGUGCCAGCAGCCGCGGUAAUACGUAGGGACCAAGCGUUGUUCGGAUUUACUGGGCGUAAAGGGCGCGUAGGCGGCAAUUCAAGUCAUAUGUGAAAUCCCCGGGCUCAACCUGGGAACUGCAUUCAAAACUGACUGACUAGAGUAUGGUAGGGGGUGGUGGAAUUUCCUGUGUAGCGGUGAAAUGCGUAGAUAUAGGAAGGAACACCAGUGGCGAAGGCGACCACCUGGACUGAUACUGACACUGAGGUGCGAAAGCGUGGGGAGCAAACAGGAUUAGAUACCCCUGUAGUCCCUGAGCGGGCUGGCAAGGCGCAU